CUCUCAUAUGCUACCGGAUGUCCUUCUUGCAUGAGGACUCCACCAAGGGCAAAAUCUGAAACAUCUGUAUGAACUUCGAAUGGUUUAGCCAUAUCCGGUAAGGCUAAAAUCGGGUUCGUCCACAUGGACUUCUUCAACCUUUCAAUAGCAGCUUGGCAUUGGGAUGACCAAUCCCAAUCCUUAUCCUUCUUUGUCAAUUCAGUAAGUGGCAGUGCAAUUUCUGAGUAGCCUUUCACAAAUUUUCGAUAGUAAUUGCAUAACCCAAGAAAUGAACGUACAUCAUGUACGGUUUUGGGUGGUUGCCAAUCUUUGAUGGCUGUAACCUUCUUCGAAUCCAUGCGGAUUUUACCUUGUUCAAUGAUGUGACCCAAGAAACUGAUAGAUAUCUGAGCAAAUGAGCAUUUAGACGGCUUAGCAUAAAGUUCAUUCUCUCGUAGCCGAUUAAAAACUUGCCUCACAUGCUGGACAUGUUCCUCCAAUAUCUCGCUGUAGAUUAUUAUGUCAUCCAAGUACACCACGACAAAAUCAUUUAAGAACCCGUGAAGUACCUGAUUCAUCAUAGUACAAAAUGUUGCUGGAGCGUUUGUCAAACCAAAAGGCAUCACUUUAAAUUCAAAGGCUCCAUAUCUGGUUACCACCGUAGUUUUUGCUUCAUCUCCCUCCUUGAUCCGAACUUGCCAGUAUCCGGACCUAAGAUCAAUUUUUGUGUAAUACUUCGCCCGACUCAGUCGAUCGAAGCAAUCCGCAACCAGUGGGAUAGGAUAGCUAUUCUUCACAGUGAUCUUGUUCAAGGCUCGAUAGUCGCAGCACAUUCUAAGAGAACCAUCAGCCUUUUUCUGAAACAAUACAGGAGCUCCGUAUGACGACUUCGCAGGCACAAUUAUUCCACUCUCCAGCAUUUCCCCCAAUUGCUUCCUAAGCUCUUCAAGCACGGGCUGAGACAUACGGUAUGAUGCCCUGGCGGGAGGUUUGGCGCCUGGAAUGAGUUCAAUUUCAUGAUCAAUCAU
rnacentral:lncRNA from 1 species